rnacentral:rRNA from 1 species
AAAAGUGCCUAAAUGUUCCCAAAGACACCAGAUCCCAUCUUAUCUGGGAAGUUAAGUAGGGUCAGCCCUGUUUAGUACUUGAAUGGUUGACUGCUGGUGAAUAUCGGAUGCUGUCUGUU